rnacentral:rRNA from 1 species
GAUGAACGCCGGCGGUGUGCCUAAUACAUGCAAGUCGAACGCGUUGGCCUAAUUGAUUGCUGGUGCUUGCACCUGAUUGAUUUUGGUCGCCAACGAGUGGCGGACGGGUGAGUAACACGUAGGUAACCUGCCCAGAAGCGGGGGACAACAUUUGGAAACAGAUGCUAAUACCGCAUAACAGCGUUGUUCGCAUGAACAACGCUUAAAAGAUGGCUUCUCGCUAUCACUUCUGGAUGGACCUGCGGUGCAUUAGCUUGUUGGUGGGGUAACGGCCUACCAAGGCGAUGAUGCAUAGCCGAGUUGAGAGACUGAUCGGCCACAAUGGGACUGAGACACGGCCCAUACUCCUACGGGAGGCAGCAGUAGGGAAUCUUCCACAAUGGGCGCAAGCCUGAUGGAGCAACACCGCGUGAGUGAAGAAGGGUUUCGGCUCGUAAAGCUCUGUUGUUAAAGAAGAACACGUAUGAGAGUAACUGUUCAUACGUUGACGGUAUUUAACCAGAAAGUCACGGCUAACUACGUG